rnacentral:tmRNA from 1 species
GGGGGCGACCGGUUUCGACGGGGAUAUUGACGCCAUCGUCGCAUGUCGAGAUCUCGGGAACUCGUAAAAUUCCGGGAAAAACGCAACUGCCAACCAAGAACUGGCACUCGCAGCCUAAUUUAGGCUGAGACGUCGUUCCAUCUGAGGUCCGCGGGGGUGGAAUGGCGCGAUGCAGCGGACUGGUCCCACGCCGGUGCUCAGCGGCGGGGGGCGAGACAAUACUGGGCUAGCGGCGAUUCUAAGCCGGCCGAUAGGCGUGGGUCGCUGCGAAGCUUAAAGAAUCGGCUACACAUGUAGACGCGAUGUGCCGACGAUCUUCGGACAGGGGUUCAACUCCCCUCGCCUCCACCA